rnacentral:rRNA from 1 species
UACGUAGGGUGCGAGCGUUGUCCGGAAUUAUUGGGCGUAAAGAGCUUGUAGGCGGUUUGUCGCGUCUGCUGUGAAAAUCCGGGGCUCAACCCCGGACUUGCAGUGGGUACGGGCAGACUAGAGUGUGGUAGGGGAGACUGGAAUUCCGUGGUGAGCGGUGGAAUGCGCAGAGUAUCAGGAGGAACACCGGUGCGGAAGGCGGA